GAUGAACGCUGGCGGCGUGCCUAAUACAUGCAAGUCGAGCGAACGGACGUGAAGCUUUCUUCUCUGCUGUUAGCGGCGCACGGGUGAGUGACACGUGGAUAACCUCCCUAUAUGACUGGGAUAACUUCGGGAAACCGGAGCUAAUACCGGAUAAUCUUUUGAACCGCAUGGUUCAAAAGUAAAAGACGGUCUUGCUGUCACUUAUAGAUGGAUUCGCGCUGCAUUAGCUGGUUGGUAAGGUAACGGCUUACCAAGGCAACGAUGCAUAGCCGACCUGGGAGGGUGAUCGGCCACACGGGAACUGAGACACGGUCCAGACUCCUAGGGGAGGCAGCAGUAGGGAAUCUUCGGCAAGGGGCGAAAGCCGGACGGAGCAACGCCGCGUGGGUGAUGAAGGUCUUGGGAUCGUAAAACUCGUUUAUUAGGGAAGAACACAUGUGUAAGUAAAUGUGCACAGAUUGACGGUACCUAAUCAGAAAGCCACGGCUAACUACGUG
rnacentral:rRNA from 1 species